AUUCUCCCGUUGCUUCCCUGCUUCCUACCAUCAUCUUCCUCCCCCUGUUAUUUUCCUUUCGAUGUUCCCUUCCCAGAUCGAAGAUGCCUUCAACCUGUUAUCAUACUGAAGGCCGUUUGUUGAACCGAAUCAUAAGCUAUCCUUCAAAUAUUGUCAUGCCAAGACUGGUUCGGAAGGGUUCAUGCCACCAUUAGGCAAGAUGGAAAGUAGAGCUCGAUUUGUGGGAGGAGCGAGAAUUGCCAAAUAUGACAGUUAGAUCCUUCAUUAAGGGCCUACAGGCGUUGGUAUUUCUCUUUGCUAAAUUUGAAAUCAACUUGACCUUGAUGCUUUCCUAUAACAAAGUAUGUUUGAUUAGGAGCAGACCAACUAUUCAAUGAUUAUGCUGAUUGAGAAAAUAAGACUCGUAUUGAUCCAAGUUAUACACAUUGGAUAUUUCAUGGGGAGGGUGACAGUUGGAGUGUGAGUUCGUCAGACGGUGAUGACAAUACUACUUGUGAAUCUCAUAAUUUCAUUGAUGAUAUGGAUGAGAUGAUAGAGGACACCCGGGCUGCAUCAUUCUUUGACCAUGCUUUCGUUGAACAUGGCAGUACUUCAGAGCCCACCAUGAGUGAUCGGCAAUGGAAAACAUUUGACUAAUUGUUUGACGGUGCAAGACGUCCACUGUAUCCAACUUGUGAGAAGUUUUCUAAGCUCUCAUUUAUAGUCAAGUUGCUUCAUAUAAAAAAUGAAUGUAAUAUAAUUUGAUGUCAUGAUUUAAUUUUCUGUUUAUUAAAAACAGAAAACCCACAGAUUCCUGAUAUAAUUGCUUUGUCACACUCAUGGGACCUGAUUUUAUACCCCAACACAUUACUUGCUGACUUUUGGGAGCUAAGCUUUUCUUUGAAGUAUACAAGGGGGUUGAGUAGAUGCUUUGAGAUGUGCUACUUUUAUUGAUACAAGUUUUCAGGCUCUAGUAGAUGCUUUGAGAUGUGCUGAUUCAUGCUAUAAUAUGAUAGCAAAUGUAAAGUUAUGCAAUUUAAUAAUGGCUAUGGGUGGUUAACAUCAUGUUGUUUUUAUAAGUUUAAACAGUCUUGUUGCCUAAGCGUUAUAUAUGUUGGUUUGCCGAAAGAAGCAAUAAGCAUGGGUAAGGACAUAUUUUUAGUUGUCCGCAUCACUUGUUGUCGUUUGAAGUGAAGUUGAAGAUGUUCACAGUAAUGGCGUGAGACCUCACAUGAUAUUUGAGUACUUAUGGUUUAUUGUAUAGAUGGUGUUGUAAACUGCUAGUAUGAUGAAAUAAUGUUGAGAAUAGGGCAUUUGUGUACGUGUGAUGCUUCAUAUUCCAAUAUAUUGAUUAUGUAUAGUGAUUUUUAACUACCCAACAUUGAGAAAUGAUACUUGCAGUCGUGAGUGUG